GAUGAACGCUGGCGGCGUGCCUAAUACAUGCAAGUCGAGCGAACAGACGAGGAGCUUGCUCCUCUGACGUUAGCGGCGGACGGGUGAGUAACACGUGGAUAACCUACCUAUAAGACUGGGAUAACUUCGGGAAACCGGAGCUAAUACCGGAUAAUAUAUUGAACCGGAUGGUUCAAUAGUGAAAGACGGUUUUGCUGUCACUUAUAGAUGGAUCCGCGCCGCAUUAGCUAGUUGGUAAGGUAACGGCUUACCAAGGCAACGAUGCGUAGCCGACCUGAGAGGGUGAUCGGCCACACUGGAACUGAGACACGGUCCAGACUCCUACGGGAGGCAGCAGUAGGGAAUAUUCCGCAAUGGGCGAAAGCCUGACGGAGCAACGCCGCGUGAGUGAUGAAGGUCUUCGGAUCGUAAAACUCUGUUAUUAGGGAAGAACAAAUGUGUAAGUAACUAUGCACGUCUUGACGGUACCUAAUCAGAAAGCAACGGCUAACUACGUG
rnacentral:rRNA from 1 species